rnacentral:rRNA from 1 species
GAUGAACGCUGGCGGCGUGCCUAAUACAUGCAAGUCGAGCGAACGGACUAUAAUCUUUCUUCUCUGAUUUUAUCGUCUGACGGGUGAUUAACACGUUUAUAACCUACCUUUUUUUCUUGGAUCACUUCGUGAAUCCGUAGCUAAUACCGUAUGAUAUUUUGAUCCUCUUUGUUCAUUAGUGAUUUACGGUCUUGCUGUCUCUUAUCGAUGGUUCCGCGAUGCAUUAUCUAGUUGGUAAGGUAACGGCUUACCAAGGCAACGAUGCAUAGCCGACGUGAGAGGGUGAUCGGCCAAACUGGAACUGAGACAGGGACAAGACGACUACGGGAGGCAGCAGUAGGGAAUAUGCCGCAAUGGGCGAAAGCAUGACGGAGCAACGCCGAGUGAGUGAAGAAGGACUUCGGAUCGUAAAAAUAUGUUAUGAGGGAAGAAAAGAAGUGUAAGUAAAUGUGAACAGAGUGACGGUAACGAAAAAGAAAGCAACGGCUAACUACGUG